GUACUAGGUUGGUGCAAAAGUAAUUCCAGUUUUUGCUGUUACUUUUAAUGGAGAAAAACUGCAAUUACUUUUGCAUCAACCUAAUA
rnacentral:miRNA from 1 species